GAGAAUUACCAGUAGCUUGAACAGCUUAAGGGCGGGACCAAGUACAGAAUGAAGCUCAGACUCUGAAGAAUUUGCACUACUAAGGUGUGUACACAACAUGAAGGUGGCCAUCUGCAAGCCAAAAAGAGAGCCUUUACCAGAACCUGACCAUUGCUGGCACCCCAAUCCUGGAUGAUCCAGCCUCUAGAACUAUGAGAAAUAAAUUUCUGCUGUUCAAGCAA